rnacentral:rRNA from 1 species
UACGUAGGGUGCAAGCGUUAUCCGGAAUCACUGGGCGUAAAGCGUGCGUAGGCGGGAAUUUAAGUGAGAUGUUAAAUCGUGUGGCUCAACCAUAUCGAUGCAUCUCAUACUGGGUUCCUAGAGGAUGGCAGAGGCAAGUGGAAUUGGUAGUGUAGCAGUGAAAUGCGUAGAUAUUACCAGGAACACCAAUGGCGAAGGCAGCUUGCUGGGCCACCCCUGACGCUGAGGUACGAAAGCGUGGGGAGCGAACAGG